GUGCACCAGGCGCGAAAACUCUACAAUAAGCGAAAGCUUGACAGGGUUAUUCUGAGUGAUUUCCGCUAAGGAAAUCUUUUGGCACCUCUAAAAAAUGGUGCAGAAGUAAGGGGUGGGCAAGUCUGGUGUCAGCCGCCGCGGUAAUACCAGCACCCCGAGUGGUCGGGACGUUUAUUGGGCCUAAAGCAUCCGUAGCCGGUUCUACAAGUCUUCCGUUAAAUCCACCUGCUUAACAGAUGGGCUGCGGAAGAUACUAUAGAGCUAGGAGGCGGGAGAGGCAGGCGGUACUCGAUGGGUAGGGUAAAAUCCGUUGAUCCAUUGAAGACCACAGUGCGAAGGCGGCUUGCCAGAACGCGCUCGACGGUGAGGGAUGAAAGCUGGGGGAGCAAACCGGAUUAGAUACCCGUGUAGU
rnacentral:rRNA from 1 species